GGGGUUCGAGUCCUUCCUCGCGGGGCUCGGUGGGUCCUGCGCAUCCUGUGGCCAGGGUUACUGAUCUGUCUGCUUCAGCAUAGGUUCACAAAGUACAGUCCGCAUGCCAGCAACAUCAUCUGGGAACUUAAGGAAAAACCAGCCCUACUGAAUCAGAAACUGGGGAUGUGGCCCAAGCAAUCUUUUACCAAGACCUCCAGGUGAUUAUAAUGCAAGCCAACCGAUCAAGAGGACAGCACUGUACGGCGUGCGGAGACCCCCCCUGGGGGGAAGGAAUCACACUGGGUCCAGGUGAUCUCUGACAGCAGAGACAGACACCAUCCAUUGCUGAGCCAAGGCAAUGUGUGAGCACUCUUCACGCCUCAGCUCAUUAAUGCUCCAUAAUGCCCCAUGGGUUCCAUGCUGUCUGACCCUGUUUAUGGAUGGGAACACUGAAAUGGAGGCUCUGUGCCUUGCCUUAGAUUUGAGCUGAGAUUUGAACCCAGGUGGACAUCCUGAGCUGGGGCAUCAGCUGUGGCAUCCCUAACAAGCCAGGUCAUCCACUUGCCGGUCUCUGCUGAUGAAGCCUGGAUGGAGCCCGGAUUCAGGACGAUGCACAGAGGACAUCACCAUUUGGACGAGGCCCCCCUCCUGUUCCCAAAUCUCUCCACUCCACCUUCACCUGCCUCAUCUGAGGGAUGAGGGGCACCUGCUGGGCUACCUCUAGGAACUCCUUGGUCCUCACUAUCCACACCCUCCCCUUGCUCUCCUUCCUUAGAAGCACAGAAUCUAAAGCUGCCAACUCUGUACAUAAAGACACUGAGAUUAAGAAGG